GACGAACGCUGGCGGCGUGCUUAACACAUGCAAGUCGAACGGAAAGGCCCUGCUUUUGUGGGGUGCUCGAGUGGCGAACGGGUGAGUAACACGUGAGUAACCUGCCCUUGACUUUGGGAUAACUUCAGGAAACUGGGGCUAAUACCGGAUAGGAGCUCCUGCUGCAUGGUGGGGGUUGGAAAGUUUCGGCGGUUGGGGAUGGACUCGCGGCUUAUCAGCUUGUUGGUGGGGUAGUGGCUUACCAAGGCUUUGACGGGUAGCCGGCCUGAGAGGGUGACCGGCCACAUUGGGACUGAGAUACGGCCCAGACUCCUACGGGAGGCAGCAGUGGGGAAUAUUGCACAAUGGGCGGAAGCCUGAUGCAGCAACGCCGCGUGCGGGAUGACGGCCUUCGGGUUGUAAACUGCUUUCGCCUGUGACGAAGCGUGAGUGACGGUAAUGGGUAAAGAAGCACCGGCUAACUACGUGCCAGCAGCCGCGGUGAUACGUAGGGUGCGAGCGUUGUCCGGAUUUAUUGGGCGUAAAGGGCUCGUAGGUGGUUGAUCGCGUCGGAAGUGUAAUCUUGGGGCUUAACCCUGAGCGUGCUUUCGAUACGGGUUGACUUGAGGAAGGUAGGGGAGAAUGGAAUUCCUGGUGGAGCGGUGGAAUGCGCAGAUAUCAGGAGGAACACCAGUGGCGAAGGCGGUUCUCUGGGCCUUUCCUGACGCUGAGGAGCGAAAGCGUGGGGAGCGAACAGGCUUAGAUACCCUGGUAGUCCACGCUGUAAACGGUGGGUACUAGGUGUGGGGUCCAUUCCACGGGUUCCGUGCCGUAGCUAACGCUUUAAGUACCCCGCCUGGGGAGUACGGCCGCAAGGCUAAAACUCAAAGGAAUCGACGGGGCCCCGCACAAGCGGCGGAGCAUGCGGAUUAAUUCGAUGCAACGCGUAGAACCUUACCUGGGUUUGACAUGGAUCGGGAGCGCUCAGAGAUGGGUGUGCCUCUUUUGGGGUCGGUUCACAGGUGGUGCAUGGCUGUCGUCAGCUCGUGUCGUGAGAUGUUGGGUUAAGUCCCGCAACGAGCGCAACCCUUGUUCACUGUUGCCAGCACGUUAUGGUGGGGACUCAGUGGAGACCGCCGGGGUCAACUCGGAGGAAGGUGGGGAUGACGUCAAGUCAUCAUGCCCCUUAUGUCCAGGGCUUCACGCAUGCUACAAUGGCUGGUACAGAGAGUGGCGAGCCUGUGAGGGUGAGCGAAUCUCGGAAAGCCGGUCUCAGUUCGGAUUGGGGUCUGCAACUCGACCUCAUGAAGUCGGAGUCGCUAGUAAUCGCAGAUCAGCAACGCUGCGGUGAAUACGUUCCCGGG
rnacentral:rRNA from 1 species